CCAAGGACUCUGUUAUCAUCCAUCCAAGGAUCAAGAACCCUUUUCUGAGGAAGGAAAUUGCUUCACUCUUGCUGAAACUUUCCAAGAAAGAAGAACAAAGCCUUGAUAGUCACAUAUACCAUUCUCUGACUUCUGAUAUCAAAAUUGCUGUACCUAAGAAUGAAUUACCAUCACCAUGCUCAAGAAAACUACUAGCAUUUAAUGUGUAUUAAAGCAGACUAUUAUCAAAGUUGCGUUCUUAGAUUUUGUCAAUAAAUAUUUUUUACGCUUAGAAAAA